rnacentral:lncRNA from 1 species
UCAUAGUAAAUAGAUCUUUACCGAGGCGUUUGAAACGCCCGCCUUGGUUAAUCAAAUAAAAAAGGAAAAAGGAAAAAUCUAUGGGUAGGUCCACCAAGCCCAUCCACGGGCCCGCUAAGCCAUCAAUGAUGGUAGGAUUUGCGUGUGUACGCCACCGCUCGUCGGGGCUCCCCCCUACCAGAUUUGGAGUGUUGUGAGCCUGCCAGAGCCAUCCGAGGCUCCCCGCGUGCACUGCUGCUGUCAGAUUCAGCCCCAACACGUGUGAGGCCACCGGUUGAAGCCUCCCCAUGUGCAAGCACGUCAAAUUCAGACUCCUUACGCCUCCUAGAUCUAGCCCCGUAGUCGUCGCUGCGGAUCUGCGAGGGAGAGAGGGUGAGGGACAGAUCCACCAUGGAUCAGUGUGUGUGUGAGAGAGAGAGGAGGAGGAGGAGGAGGAGGCCAUACCUCUUCCGGCACGAGCAGAGGAGCACAGGUCGCUGGUGGCUGCGAACUCCUUCGUAGUGGAGAUGCUGACAUAGUAGGACGGGGUGAGGGAUGGGUGGUGGUGCCGCUAUGAGGAGAGGGAUGGGUAGUAACGCUAGGAGAGGGGAGGCGAGGGCCACCGAGGGAGAGAGAGAGUGGACGAAAUAAGAGAGGGAGUGAGAGAGUGGAUGUGGG